UACGAAGGGGGCUAGCGUUGUUCGGAAUCAUUGGGCGUAAAGAGCGUGUAGGCGGCCAGAAAAGUCCGCUGUGAAAACUCGAGGCUCAACUUCGAGCUGUCGGUGGAAACUGUCUGGCUAGAGUCCGGAAGAGGAGAAUGGAAUUCCUGGUGUAGCGGUGAAAUGCGCAGAUAUCAGGAAGAACACCCGUGGCGAAGGCGGUUCUCUGGGACGGUACUGACGCUGAGACGCGAAAGCGUGGGGAGCGAACAGG
rnacentral:rRNA from 1 species